rnacentral:piRNA from 1 species
AUUUCUGAUUUGACGAGGGU